rnacentral:rRNA from 1 species
GACGUAGGGCGCAAGCGUUGUCCGGAUUUAUUGGGCGUAAAGAGCUCGUAGGCGGCUUGUUGCGUCGUCCGUGAAAACCCGUGGCUCAACUGCGGGCUUGCGGACGAUACGGGCAGGCUGGAGUUCGGUAGGGGAGACUGGAAUUCCUGGUGUAGCGGUGAAAUGCGCAGAUAUCAGGAGGAACACCGGUGGCGAAGGCGGGUCUCUGGGCCGAUACUGACGCUGAGGAGCGAAAGCGUGGGGAGCGAACCGG